GGUUUAAGUAGUCAAUCAAUGAUUUCAAAUUGCAAAUUUGAAGGUAAAUUAUUUUCUAAACCU
rnacentral:tRNA from 1 species